UAGUUCACCGACGCGUAACGUGUUGUUGAGGGCGUGGUGUGAGCCAGGUUCCAGGGUCGGCCGGGGCUUCCGGAAAAGGGGACGGCUUCUACUGCUGCUCCGACUUUGGGUUUCUGAUCCAACGUUCGCGCUGCUCCGCUCGCGGCUCCAGCCAGCUUCGUGACCUGUUAAGAAGAUGGCACCACGAUUGUAAUGCAGUGAAUGGAUGUGGGAGAAAUGAGACAGACAGUCAUUUGGCUGUAGUAUUGCCAACCCACAGUUCUCCAGGACUGGUUCAACUGGAAGGCCAAUUAUUCUAAUCCUUUCUCAUGGCUCUGUGUGAUGAUCCCCAAAGCUGUCCAUUUGGCCAACAAGGAACAUCUACCUAUACAACAGACACCCUUUAGUAUGGAAUGAAGUCUGCAGCCCACCAUUACGGCCCAUGUUCUGAAACAACCUCCCACUGAGCUCUGUGAUCUCCAGCCACACACAGUUGCUUGCUGGUCACUCCAUCUAGGGCCUGUGUUCCCAUGGAUGAAACACCUUCAAGGAUUGUCCCCUGAGGGUAUUGUAAAAGCAUUUUCAAGCUUCAAAUUAGACUGGUCGCUACAGGUGGCUUCAGUACCAUGUCCUUGGUGACUUAUACACAGUGUCCGGCAGACAGACUGGAGAUCCAUUUAACUGGAAACUUGGACCUGGGGUUCCAUUUAAUUGGGCACCAGCUCUGCACCAAAACACAUAUGGAAC